AGCGAACGUUAGCGGCGCGCCUAACACAUGCAAGUCGCACGAGAAAGGGCUUCGGCCCCGGUAAAGUGGCGCACGGGUGAGUAACACGUGGGCAACCUGCCCAACCCUGGGGGAUAACCUGCCGAAAGGCGGGCUAAUACCGCGUACGAGGGCUCGACUUCGGUCGGGUUCUGAAAGCAGGCCUCUGUAUACAAGCUUGUGGGGUUGGAUGGGCCCGCGCUCCAUCAGCUAGUUGGUGAGGUAACGGCUCACCAAGGCUACGACGGAUAGCUGGUCGGAGAGGAUGAUCAGCCACACUGGAACUGAGACACGGUCCAGACUCCUACGGGAGGCAGCAGUGGGGAAUCUUGCGCAAUGGACGAAAGUCUGACGCAGCGACGCCGCGUGGGUGACGAAGGCCUUCGGGUUGUAAAGCCCUGUGGGGUGAGACGAACAGCUGGGAUUCGAAUAGGGUCUUGGUCUGACGGUAUCAUCUUAGCAAGCACCGGCUAACUCUGUGCCAGCAGCCGCGGUAACAC
rnacentral:rRNA from 1 species